rnacentral:rRNA from 1 species
CCUACGGGAGGCUGCAGUGGGGAAUAUUGGACAAUGGGGGAAACCCUGAUCCAGCAAUGCCGCGUGUGUGAAGAAGGCCUGCGGGUUGUAAAGCACUUUCGGCGGGAAAGAACAGUUGCGCGUUAAUACCGUGCGGCCUUGACGUUACUCGCAAAAGAAGCACCGGCUAACUCCGUGCCAGCAGCCGCGGUAAUACGGAGGGUGCAAGCGUUAAUCGGAAUUACUGGGCGUAAAGCGCACGUAGGCGGGCAAUUAAGUCGGAUGUGAAAUCCCCGGGCUUAACCUGGGAACGGCAUCCGGAACUGGUUAGCUAGAGUGUGGACGAGGAAAGCGGAAUUCCAGGUGUAGCGGUGAAAUGCGUAGAUAUCUGGAGGAACAUCAGUGGCGAAGGCGGCUUCCUGGACCAAUACUGACACUGAGGUGCGAAAGCGUGGGUAGCAAACAGGAUUAGAUACCCUUGUAGUC